UCUGAACUCAAUCGAGACGGAAAUCAAUGAUUCUGAUGUGGACGCUGAUGACGAAGACGGCGAGGAUAUGGACGGGUCUGAAGACAGAUUAUUCCAUGGUGCUUGGUGUCGCUUGAAAUGUCUGCCCAAAUGUGUCGCCGCUCCCAAUGGCACGUGUACUUGUACCAAGAUGUUCCUUGGCAUCUUCCCCAUCUUUUCCAUUACCAUUCCUUGUGCAUAAUACCUUUUUCCUUGCCAUCAAGAUCAAUUUUCAUUGAACUAAUAAAUGCACAAAUUCGUGA